AUUGAACGCUGGCGGCAUGCCUUACACAUGCAAGUCGAACGGUAACGGGCCUUCGGGUGCCGACGAGUGGCGAACGGGGAGUAAUGCAUCGGAACGUACCUUCAGUGGGGGAUAACGUAGCGAAAGUUACGCUAAUACCGCAUAUUCUGUGAGCAGGAAAGCAGGGGAUCGCAAGACCUUGCGCUGAUUGAGCGGCCGAUGUCAGAUUAGCUAGUUGGUGAGGUAAAGGCUCACCAAGGCGACGAUCUGUAGCGGGUCUGAGAGGAUGAUCCGCCACACUGGAACUGAGACACGGUCCAGACUCCUACGGGAGGCAGCAGUGGGGAAUUUUGGACAAUGGGGGCAACCCUGAUCCAGCCAUGCCGCGUGAGUGAAGAAGGCCUUCGGGUUGUAAAGCUCUUUCGGCCGGGAAGAAAUCGCAUGGGCUAAUACCCUGUGCGGAUGACGGUACCGGCAUAAGAAGCACCGGCUAACUACGUG
rnacentral:rRNA from 1 species